GAGAGCUACUUGCGCUGGCUGAGGGAACAACAGGUCCAGGUGGGCAGCGCUAUCCGGUGCCUACCUUUCUGUGGCGCCGGAAUCGGCUCGUCUGCAACCGUCCGCUUUGGUAGCUGCCAGCCACAUGGGGCUGUUGCUAGUGUGGCUGGUGUAGCUGAAGAGCUGAACGUUUUGAUUAAUUAAUUAAGUGGUUAUAUGUUGCCAGCAGCUCCCAUCUGGGCUGUGACUGCGUGGUCUGUGGACCUCACUCUGGCACCAAACUGAGCGGAGCUGCACGUGGCCACCAGACAGUGUGGAGUGCCUCUUUGGGUUGCGUAGAAAUAGGAAAUGGGUCACCAAAAUAGGAGCUGUUGCUGCUGUGUUCUCUAGCACACCUGCCUUGUUUGUACUGCUCAGCGUGGAAUGCCUCUUGGGCUCCAACAGUGUCACUGACACUGUUGCUGAUCUCCUUGGAUUCACCUGGUCCAUUUGGAUCAAGUUAUUUCACCUGUUCACAUGAGCAGAUACCACGUUAAAACCUUAAAGGUUGGCUUAACAUUUCUUGCCCUUUUUUUUUCUUUCUUUUAGUCUCUGCGAUAUGAUACCAGCUAUUUUGUGGAGUAUUUUGCCUUGGAUCUCCUGAUGGAGAAUGGGGAGUGCCGUGGUGUCAUCGCACUGUGCAUAGAGGACGGCUCCAUCCAUCGCAUAAGAGCAAAGAACACUGUUGUUGCCACAGGAGGCUACGGGCGCACCUACUUCAGCUGCACGUCUGCCCACACCAGCACUGGCGAUGGCACGGCCAUGAUCACCAGGGCAGGCCUCCCUUGCCAGGACCUAGAGUUUGUUCAGUUCCACCCCACAGGCAUAUAUGGUGCUGGUUGUCUCAUUACGGAAGGAUGUCGUGGAGAGGGAGGCAUUCUCAUUAACAGUCAAGGUGAAAGGUUUAUGGAGCGAUACGCCCCCGUCGCGAAGGACCUGGCGUCUAGAGAUGUGGUGUCUCGUUCGAUGACUCUGGAGAUCCGAGAAGGAAGAGGCUGUGGCCCUGAGAAAGAUCAUGUCUACCUGCAGCUGCACCACCUACCUCCAGAGCAGCUGGCCACACGCCUGCCUGGCAUUUCAGAGACAGCCAUGAUCUUCGCUGGCGUGGAUGUCACGAAGGAGCCGAUCCCUGUCCUCCCCACCGUGCAUUAUAACAUGGGCGGCAUUCCCACCAACUACAAGGGGCAGGUCCUGAGGCACGUGAAUGGCCAGGAUCAGAUUGUGCCCGGCCUGUACGCCUGUGGGGAGGCCGCCUGUGCCUCGGUACAUGGUGCCAACCGCCUCGGGGCAAACUCGCUCUUGGACCUGGUUGUCUUUGGUCGGGCAUGUGCCCUGAGCAUUGAAGAGUCAUGCAGACCUGUCAAUGCAAAAUCAUGCUGCCGUGUUCCGUGUGGGAAGCGUGUUGCAGGAAGGUUGUGGGAAAAUCAGCAAGCUCUAUGGAGACCUAAAGCACCUGAAGACGUUCGACCGGGGAAUGGUCUGGAACACGGACCUGGUGGAGACCCUGGAGCUGCAGAACCUGAUGCUGUGUGCGCUGCAGACCAUCUAUGGAGCAGAGGCGCGGAAGGAGUCACGGGGUGCGCACGCCAGGGAAGACUACAAGGUGCGGAUUGAUGAGUACGAUUACUCCAAGCCCAUCCAGGGGCAACAGAAGAAGCCCUUUGAGGAGCACUGGAGGAAGCACACCCUGUCCUAUGUGGACGUCAGCACUGGGAAGGUCACCCUGGAAUAUAGACCCGUAAUCGACAAAACUUUGAACGAGGCUGACUGUGCCACCGUCCCCCCAGCCAUUCGCUCCUACUGAUGAGACAAGAUGCGGUGAUGACAGAAUCAGCUUUUGUAAUUAUGUAUAAUAGCUCAUGCAUGUGUCCGUGUCAUAACUGUCUUCAUACGCUUCUGCACUCCGGGGAAGGAGGAGUACAUUGAAGGGAGAUUGGCACCCAGGCUGGGAGCUUGCCAGGAACCCAGUGGCCAGGGAGUGUGGCACUUACCUUUGUCCCUUGCUUCAUUCUUGUGAGAUGAUAAAAUUGGGCGCAGCUCUUAAAUAUAAAUGAAC
rnacentral:sRNA from 1 species